GACGAACGCUGGCGGCAGGCCUAACACAUGCAAGUCGAACGAUCCUUCGGGAUAGUGGCGGACGGGUGAGUAACACGUGGGAACGUGCCCUUUGGUUCGGAACAACUCAGGGAAACUUGAGCUAAUACCGGAUGUGCCCUUCGGGGGAAAGAUUUAUCGCCAUUGGAGCGGCCCGCGUUGGAUUAGGUAGUUGGUGGGGUAAUGGCCCACCAAGCCUACGAUCCAUAGCUGGUCUGAGAGGAUGAUCAGCCACACUGGGACUGAGACACGGCCCAGACUCCUACGGGAGGCAGCAGUGGGGAAUCUUGCGCAAUGGGCGAAAGCCUGACGCAGCCAUGCCGCGUGAAUGAUGAAGGUCUUAGGAUUGUAAAAUUCUUUCACCGGGGACGAUAAUGACGGUACCCGGAGAAGAAGCCCCGGCUAACUUCGUGCCAGCAGCCGCCGUAA
rnacentral:rRNA from 1 species